rnacentral:misc_RNA from 1 species
AAUAUUAUAGCUGAAAAGAAAAAAAAGUAGCGAUUUUCAGCUAUUUAUUGUCAGCUAAUAUUAAUACAGAGAUCUUAUCUUUCUUUGAAUGAAAUUUAAAAAUACAUAAAAUAUAUAUUAUAUUCAAAUAUAAAAAGAAGUAAUAAAAGUUAAUUCUAUGUAGCAAUGAAUGAAAGUAGCAAUAAAAAAAAAAAAUAUUCAUAGAUUAUCAUAAUUAAUAAAGAGACUAAAAUGAGACAUCAAAAGAUUGAGUUGAUGUUUAUGAAGGUUCACCACUGAUUGAUGAAGCUAAUUGGGCACCAAUACACGUGACUUAUAUACACAAGAUAGAAGAAUCAUAUUAUCUGAUGGAAAAAACUAGCAAAUGAAGAUCAUCAAAUUCAUCGUUUCAAAAUUCAGAUCACGUUAUUUUUCAAUGGCUGAAUUGACUUUUCUGGAUGAGAGGGUUAGUGGCAUAUUGUGCCAUCUGGCUUACUUGGUCAUCAGUGCUAUGAUUUUUUUGCUCAAGAAGACCUGCUACAUAUGCAAAAUAGUUUUGAUCAAGUUCACCAAGUCCACAAAGAGGCUACUGCACUGAAUAAAAUGCAGAAGUUCACAAAUACUUCACCUACACCUAUUCAGCAAGAGUGGACAUUUCAUUAUCAGGUUGUAUUUGAUGAGACAGAGAUGAUACCAAUAGUUGGGGCAGAUUGGCAUCGAAGAUUUUCAUCUAGGACACAAUACCGUUGGAGGAAUGAUUCUGGUAAAAACAAUUCUUUUCAUGGAACACAAUUCAUUUUGAGUGAUGAAUUUAUAUAUAUACAACUAUCGUCAAGUAUUUAUUCAUGAAGGAGAUCGAGGUGAAAAUAAUAUAUGGUUUUUAUGAAAUAAUAUUUGACAAUAAAGAUGGACAUUUGCCAAAUUAAAAGCAAAGACGUUACACCACGUCGUGUAACAUUUUACGAAAAAAGAUCAGUAUAUUUUAAAUAAUAAAGUUGCAACAAGAACUGAUGUUACAAAUAUUUUAGAAUUAAUUGGUUCUUUAGAUUUAAAUCUAUAUUAUAUUGUCAAACAAGGAAAAAUUAUUCAACUGGCAAUGACACCAAAUCAAAGAUGUUUAAAUUUAAUUCUUAAUGUUGCUGAUACAAUUAUUUAUGACAAAAAGAAAAAAGAAUUAAAUAAAAUACUUGAAACAACAAAUAAAACAUAAUUAAGUUUGUUCAUUAAAACUUGAUGAAGAAAAAACAGAUUUCAAACAAUAUUGACUUCUUGAUAAACAAUAUCGAUUUAUUAAAUUUACAAUUAAUAAUCGUGAUUUAAAAGAAUUUAAAAAUAAAUUAGGUGAAUUAUUAU